AGAGUUUGAUCCUGGCUCAGGAUGAACGCUAGCGGCAGGCUUAACACAUGCAAGUCGAGGGGCAGGGUAGAUUGCUUGCAAUCUGACGGCGACCGGCGAACGGGUGCGUAACGCGUAUAGAAUCUGCCUUGUACAGGAGGAUAGCCUUUAGAAAUGAAGAUUAAUACUCCAUAAUGCUAAGAGAUGGCAUCGUUUUUUAGUUAAAGAUUUAUCGGUACAAGAUGACUAUGCGUCCUAUUAGCUAGAUGGUAAGGUAACGGCUUACCAUGGCAACGAUAGGUAGGGGGUCUGAGAGGAUUAUCCCCCACACUGGUACUGAGACACGGACCAGACUCCUACGGGAGGCAGCAGUGAGGAAUAUUGGUCAAUGGGCGCAAGCCUGAACCAGCCAUGCCGCGUGCAGGAUGACUGCCCUAUGGGUUGUAAACUGCUUUUAUACAGGAAGAAACAGUCCCUCGUGAGGGGCCUUGACGGUACUGUAAGAAUAAGCACCGGCUAACUCCGUGCCAGCAGCCGCGGUAAUACGGAGGGUGCAAGCGUUAUCCGGAAUCAUUGGGUUUAAAGGGUCCGCAGGCGGUCAAUUAAGUCAGAGGUGAAAUCCUACAGCUUAACUGUAGAACUGCCUUUGAUACUGGUUGACUUGAGUUAUACGGAAGUAGGUAGAAUGUGUAGUGUAGCGGUGAAAUGCAUAGAUAUUACACAGAAUACCGAUUGCGAAGGCAGCCUACUACGUAUAUACUGACGCUCAUGGACGAAAGCGUGGGGAGCGAACAGGAUUAGAUACCCUGGUAGUCCACGCCGUAAACGAUGGACACUAGUUGUUGGGCGCAAGUUCAGUGACUAAGCGAAAGUGAUAAGUGUCCCACCUGGGGAGUACGAUCGCAAGAUUGAAACUCAAAGGAAUUGACGGGGGCCCGCACAAGCG
rnacentral:rRNA from 1 species